rnacentral:rRNA from 1 species
UACGUAGGGUGCAAGCGUUAAUCGGAAUUACUGGGCGUAAAGCGUCCGCAGGUGGUUAUGUAAGUCUGAUGUGAAAUCCCCGAGCUUAACUUGGGCAUUGCAUUGGAAACUACAAAACUAGAGUACGGCAGAGGGGGGUAGAAUUCCACAUGUAGCAGUGAAAUGCGUAGAUAUGUGGAGGAAUACCGAUGGCGAAGGCAGCCCCCUGGGCUAAUACUGACACUCAUGGACGAAAGCGUGGGGAGCAAACAGG